CACCCGAGACUCAGUGAAAUUGAACUCGCUGUGAAGAUGCAGUGUACCCGCGGCAAGACGGAAAGACCCCGUGAACCUUUACUAUAGCUUGACACUGAACAUUGAGCCUUGAUGUGUAGGAUAGGUGGGAGGCUUUGAAGUGUGGACGCCAGUCUGCAUGGAGCCGACCUUGAAAUACCACCCUUUAAUGUUUGAUGUUCUAACGUUGACCCGUAAUCCGGGUUGCGGACAGUGUCUGGUGGGUAGUUUGACUGGGGCGGUCUCCUCCUAAAGAGUAACGGAGGAGCACGAAGGUUGGCUAAUCCUGGUCGGACAUCAGGAGGUUAGUGCAAUGGCAUAAGCCAGCUUGACUGCGAGCGUGACGGCGCGAGCAGGUGCGAAAGCAGGUCAUAGUGAUCCGGUGGUUCUGAAUGGAAGGGCCAUCGCUCAACGGAUAAAAGGUACUCCGGGGAUAACAGGCUGAUACCGCCCAAGAGUUCAUAUCGACGGCGGUGUUUGGCACCUCGAUGUCGGCUCAUCACAUCCUGGGGCUGAAGUAGGUCCCAAGGGUAUGGCUGUUCGCCAUUUAAAGUGGUACGCGAGCUGGGUUUAGAACGUCGUGAGACAGUUCGGUCCCUAUCUGCCGUGGGCGCUGGAGAACUGAGGGGGGCUGCUCCUAGUACGAGAGGACCGGAGUGGACGCAUCACUGGUGUUCGGGUUGUCAUGCCAAUGGCACUGCCCGGUAGCUAAAUGCGGAAGAGAUAAGUGCUGAAAGCAUCUAAGCACGAAACUUGCCCCGAGAUGAGUUCUCCCUGACUCCUUGAGAGUCCUGAAGGAACGUU
rnacentral:rRNA from 1 species